CUCCAAAUAGUGUCUCAAUAUCAUUUUGUACCUUAUAUCUCUAAAAAAACACCAAAACGACAUCAAAUGGACCCCGACUGGUUCCGAGAUAUUAAAGCGAGAUAGAAUUUAGAAAACGCAAAACAUCCUAAACUUCUACCCGAAGCUAUACAGUUAUACAAGAAAUGUUUCUUAAAUGAGGGCGAUGAACGCGGCAAACCGAACAUCAUUGAUAGACUCCACUCUCGGCCUCUACAACAGUGUAGAACUGAAGGUAGACUCCCAGCUCAUCAGGGGAGAUGCUGUGGCACUUCACCCCGCCCACAACCGAAACGAACCUUCGAGGUGGUGAAAAUGUAGCAGCCAAACUCAAGUGUAGCAAAGAACUCCAUAACUACGUGAGGAUAGAUGUUCUUAUUCACCAUAAUCACCUUCCAGAAGUGGUUGGACUGGUAGCAGUAGUUGCAGACUGGGUUUAACCAACUUCUCCUUGAGAAAUACUCGCCUGAGUGAUUGCGGGAAGAUGCUGGAUGGUCUGGUAGAACGUCCAAUAUGCGCAACACUCCGGGCAUGUGAAGCACUUCUCAUGGAGGAGCAGAGGAGGAGGCACUGGUUGGCCGGUAGAGUGUAAGAGGCUGGAACUACAAGCAACAGAUCCGUAACUGGCUGAGCUAAACAACAAAAACCAUCAUUCCUUUAUUCCUCUUGUUAGUCUUGGUAAUCUUAGGUUUUGAAGCCAUCCUGAAAUAUUUAAUAAGUGUGAGCAUCCUAAGGAAUAAUAAGCUAAGGGCACACCAAUAAAUCAUACUACUUAAGAAUUACAUGAUCAAGCUAGCUCACAAGUAGUCAUGGAAAUAUGUAAGGCAGAAGAAUGUGGAAAUCCAAUGAUAGGUACAUAGUCAUUCACAUAGGUAAUUAACUAGCAAUACUAUGCAAAUGCAAUGCUAAGUUCACAACUAAGCAUCAACUACCAUAAUGAAUCAUCAAAAGUGUACCAAUGAGUAAGAUAAGUAUAACAAGUAUGAACAAAGCAUCAAGAAAUCAACUAUGCAACAUUCAAGUUAUAUCAUAGGAGAUACCAAAGGACUAGUAGCAGGUAACAACCCUAAACCAAAAUAAUGAGCACAAUAUGCAUAUUCGAGAGCAAUGGUAUGAUCAAAUUUGAGCAAAAGAGGGAAUAAGGCAUAGUCACAUAUCAAUUCAUCAUUUAGAAGCAUCACAAUCACCUAGCACAACCCUAGGUACAAGAUUCAAAAUCAAACCAAAAAGAUGCAAUUCCAAAGUUUCAUCACAAAAUUUCAAUGUUCAACCAUAUUUGCUUCAAUAUUCAUCCUAAAGGCAAAGCUAGAUAUUAAUUUAGGCAAUAUCAUCCUAUCCUAGCAUUUGCAAUGUUCAACAUCAUCAUCAUCAUCAUUCACCAAUUCACCACAUUUGACCUCAAUUUACCCUAAACCAAAACUAAUUCAACCAUGACCAACAAAUGGAAUUCCCCCAACAGUUAAAGAUUUUCAUCCUUGAAAAUUAAAGAACGACAAAGAUCCUAAGCAAGAGGUUAAAAAUUCAUGACCACAUGCCAUCUAAACCAUCCACAAUUCAAUCCACAACCCAACAAUUUAAACCAAACAAGUUUGCACAACCCUAAUCAUGCACCUAUGAACACUUCAAAUUUACAAGCAAGCACAAUUUGGGGCACAAAUCACUCAAUCGAAUCCCAAAAUCCUAAUCAUGCAUACAAGAACCAAUUGGAGUUCACAAUCAAGUCAAAGUCAAAAGUUUCUAAUCUAGUUUAUGAAUUCGAAGCAAAAAAUUGAAAUCGGAAGAACUUGGCACAAGGUUGGACUCGGGGGGGNNNNNNNNNNNNNNNNNNNNNNNNNNNNNNNNNNNNAACAGAGGAAGGAGGGAGAAAGAGGUUGGUGCGGCGGUGGUCUGGAGGGAGGUGGUAGAGGUUGGGUGAGGGAAGGGUGAAGGGACGGGAGAAGAGGAGCGAUGGUCUAGAGGCGGGGUGUCAAAGGGAUCAACGGAGAAGAGGGAAGGAAAAGAUGAUAGGGGAGGAGGUGGCAACGAGAGGGCUAAGAGUGGAUUUUGGGUGAAUCAGGAAGAGGAAGGUUGAGAUUUGGGAACGAUC
rnacentral:lncRNA from 1 species